AUUGAACGCUGGCGGCAUGCCUUACACAUGCAAGUCGAACGGCAGCACUGGAGCAAUCCUGGUGGCGAGUGGCGAACGGGUGAGUAAUAUAUCGGAACGUGCCCAGUCGUGGGGGAUAACGCAGCGAAAGCUGUGCUAAUACCGCAUACGAUCUAUGGAUGAAAGCGGGGGAUCGCAAGACCUCGCGCGAUUGGAGCGGCCGAUAUCAGAUUAGCUAGUUGGUGAGGUAAAGGCUCACCAAGGCGACGAUCUGUAGCUGGUCUGAGAGGACGACCAGCCACACUGGAACUGAGACACGGUCCAGACUCCUACGGGAGGCAGCAGUGGGGAAUUUUGGACAAUGGGCGAAAGCCUGAUCCAGCAAUGCCGCGUGCAGGAUGAAGGCCUUCGGGUUGUAAACUGCUUUUGUACGGAACGAAACGGUGAGCUCUAAUACAGUUUGCUAAUGACGGUACCGUAAGAAUAAGCACCGGCUAACUACGUGCCAGCAGCCGCCGCGG
rnacentral:rRNA from 1 species